rnacentral:rRNA from 1 species
GCAAGUCGAACGAACUUCCGUUAUUGAUUAUGACGUACUUGUACUGAUUGAGAUUUUAACACGAAGUGAGUGGCGAACGGGUGAGUAACACGUGGGUAACCUGCCCAGAAGUAGGGGAUAACACCUGGAAACAGAUGCUAAUACCGUAUAACAGAGAAAACCGCAUGGUUUUCUUUUAAAAGAUGGCUCUGCUAUCACUUCUGGAUGGACCCGCGGCGUAUUAGCUAGUUGGUGAGGUAAAGGCUCACCAAGGCAGUGAUACGUAGCCGACCUGAGAGGGUAAUCGGCCACAUUGGGACUGAGACACGGCCCAGACUCCUACGGGAGGCAGCAGUAGGGAAUCUUCCACAAUGGACGCAAGUCUGAUGGAGCAACGCCGCGUGAGUGAAGAAGGGUUUCGGCUCGUAAAGCUCUGUUGUUAAAGAAGAACGUGGGUAAGAGUAACUGUUUACCCAGUGACGGUAUUUAACCAGAAAGCCACGGCUAACUACGUGCCAGCAGCCGCGGUAAUACGUAGGUGGCAAGCGUUAUCCGGAUUUAUUGGGCGUAAAGCGAGCGCAGGCGGUCUUUUAAGUCUAAUGUGAAAGCCUUCGGCUCAACCGAAGAAGUGCAUUGGAAACUGGGAGACUUGAGUGCAGAAGAGGACAGUGGAACUCCAUGUGUAGCGGUGAAAUGCGUAGAUAUAUGGAAGAACACCAGUGGCGAAGGCGGCUGUCUGGUCUGCAACUGACGCUGAGGCUCGAAAGCAUGGGUAGCGAACAGGAUUAGAUACCCUGGUAGUCCAUGCCGUAAACGAUGAUUACUAAGUGUUGGAGGGUUUCCGCCCUUCAGUGCUGCAGCUAACGCAUUAAGUAAUCCGCCUGGGGAGUACGACCGCAAGGUUGAAACUCAAAAGAAUUGACGGGGGCCCGCACAAGCGGUGGAGCAUGUGGUUUAAUUCGAAGCUACGCGAAGAACCUUACCAGGUCUUGACAUCUUCUGACAGUCUAAGAGAUUAGAGGUUCCCUUCGGGGACAGAAUGACAGGUGGUGCAUGGUUGUCGUCAGCUCGUGUCGUGAGAUGUUGGGUUAAGUCCCGCAACGAGCGCAACCCUUAUUACUAGUUGCCAGCAUUAAGUUGGGCACUCUAGUGAGACUGCCGGUGACAAACCGGAGGAAGGUGGGGACGACGUCAAAUCAUCAUGCCCCUUAUGACCUGGGCUACACACGUGCUACAAUGGAUGGUACAACGAGUCGCGAGACCGCGAGGUUAAGCUAAUCUCUUAAAACCAUUCUCAGUUCGGACUGUAGGCUGCAACUCGCCUACACGAAGUCGGAAUCGCUAGUAAUCGCGGAUCAGCAUGCCGCGGUGAAUACGUUCCCGGGCCUUGUACACACCGCCCGU